rnacentral:rRNA from 1 species
AAUGAACGCUGGCGGCAUGCCUAACACAUGCAAGUCGAGCGGACGGACGGGGCUUUCUCUUGGAUGCAGUGAGCGACGGGCGGGUGAUGCCCAGGAAUAUGCCCUACCUAGAGGAAUGAGGUACGGAAACGGGAGCUAAUAUCGCAUCCGAUCAGAUAGAGAAAGUGGUGGAUCAUCGGUCCACAAGGUUUCUGAUGAGCCUAAGACGGAUUAGCUAGCUGGUUGGGUAAAGGCCUACCAAGGCGACGAUCCGUAACUGGGCUGAGAGGGUGAUCAGUCACACUGGAACUGAGACACGGUCCAGACUCCUACGGGAGGCAGCAGUGGGGAAUCUUCCGCAAUGGGCGAAAGCCUGAUCGAGCAACGCCGCGUGAGUGAUGAAGGUCUUCGGAUCGUAAAGCUCUGUAAGUUGGGAGGAAGGAAAGUGAGUUUAACCCUGCCUGUUUUGACGGUACCUAAAGAAUAAGCCCCGGCUAACUUCGUG